rnacentral:lncRNA from 1 species
UAAAUCCAACACUAUUUCAUAUUCAAAUCAAGAAAACUCCAAGUCGAAUUAAAAUCAUCCAUCAUAUAACAUCACAUAAUACAUCUCCCAGGUUUACAUAACACAAUAACUUAUCUCAUGAAUACAUUUUCUUACACAGGAAUAUAGCAAGAACGGACAGAAUUGCACAAUAGAACAAUGACACAUCUGCUAACAAUGAGACAUAGGUUCAGAAAUUUUUAUGUUGUGUUGAUUUGAAUGUCCCAAGUAUGCAUCAUCGACAUCUUCUCACCACUUUCCUAGCAAGAGAAAAAGAGACAAAACAAAAAACAUUAGACCGUAACAUUACAUGAGAGCAUAGAUCAGUAACUUCAAAUCACAAAAUAUAUCCAUUAUACUAGAUGUCAGAGUUGUAUAAAAGUUGCUAGUUAUAAAAAAACAUGGAGCUACCAAAUUAGCAGAAAAUUAGCUCACACUAAAUUUGCCUUUGUGGAGCAUAUGAAAUUGCAGUGAGUUCCUAUCAAGGAUGCUUGCAGUAAUUGUAACUGUUCUGGAGGUGAUAACAACACAAUGCUUCGGUUAGAAAAUUCAACUCUAAUUAUGCAGCCAUCUAGUGACAUGUUACACUAUCCAUUUACAGGUGCAGUAGGAGCAGAGGAGGUGUAAUACAGUAGCAGCUAUCUAUCUAUUUUCCAUAAGCAAUACCAGCGAGCGGCAUAGCUCACACUGAAACAGAUUUAGUGCAUGAUGUACUAUGUAACAACAACAUCUAAUAAGCAAAGCAUAUGCACAUCAUGUCACGCCCAUGCCCCAAUCCCCAACACUAGUCCUGUAAUAGUAGGAGCUAGUCCUGCAAUACUCAGACAACAAGAAAUCAAUUGUGAAUGGUCGUGUCAUCUACAAACUACCACUUUAACUGCAUCCCUUAGAAUCCUGACAAUACAGCCCACCAUUACUCUUAUAUACAAAGAAAAAUCCUAAGAAACUGAUUUCAUAAUGUCCAUCCAUGAUUUUAUAUAUAACACAAACAUUGUAGAAAAGGUACACAACAGAUAGAGCACCAUGACCCAGAUAUGACUAGCAGCCAUAUGCCAACUUACAGGUGCGCAUCGAAGCGGGAGUCGAGCAGCGCCGGGAUGGCGUCCUCCUCCGGGUCAUCGUACAGGUGUGCGUCCGUGCCCAUCCGUCCCACCACCCACGACGCCGCUCGCGCGCAUCCCGAACAUCCCUCCCUCUAGGCUGCAAACAUAUAGCAGACGUGUAACGCAGCAGCAUCUGCU